UGUUUUUCCGUGGUAAAAUUUAUCAUAAAAAGUUCUUGAAUUACCUUGGCUAUACGUAAUUUUGAAAAAAUGCUGUUUCUUAUAAGCAUCUUUCUAAUCUGUUUACCUCCCCUGUUCUGUAAUCCUGAUUGAUUGGAGAUAAUAGUCAAUGAACUGGAGAAUUUUACAAAUGAAGUAAGGAAGUUGAAGCGUGGUUAAAUUUUACAUGUUACCUGCCUCUUAUAGCAAUACUACAAUGUGAUUCCCAAACAAAAAUCUUACUAGGAUAUGGUUGUCACAUUCUGAGUCAUUAUUUGUUCGAGAGAUAGGCAGGAAUCCAAGUACUGAACCCUCAGUUGUUGCCACCCAGUGUGUGCAUAAACAGGAAGCUGGAAUUGGAAGCAGAGCACAAACUCAAACCCAGACCCUCUGAUGUGGGAUGUAGGUGUCCCAAGAAACAUAGUAACUACUGUGCUAGAUACUGACCCCAGAUUUUACUUUUCUUAACCCCAAUUUUUGGUGUUCAGCAUAGCUUUGGAAACUUUGUUAGUGAAAGGGCACGCUUUAAAGCCUGUGAAAGUUUACUUAGAUCUUGUUUUAGAUUACAACAAUGUCCUCUCUUUUUGUCCAUGAGAUGAAAGAAGAAAACUGUGUCAGCUAUCUUGACUUGAUUUUUAUGUUGGAUAGUACCUGUCAUAAGAGGAGUAACAAGAAACAUGUCGACUGAAACACCAAUCACACUGAGUAUCGACCCUCAGGAUCUGCAGGUCCAAACUUUCACUGUAGAAAAGCUGCUGGAGCCUCUCAUAAUUCAGGUUACCACACUUGUAAACUGUCCUCAGAAUCCUUCCAACAGGAAAAAAGGACGUUCAAAAAGAGCUAGAGUCCUUCUAGCUUCUGUGGAGGAAGCAACUUGGAAUUUAUUAGACAAGGGAGAGAAGAUUGCCCAGGAGGCUACCAAUUUAAAGGAAGAGCUUAAUGCUGCACUGGAGGAGGUUCGAAAUGAAAGUAAAGCUUUGAAGGUAUCAGCUGAGCAAUUCACAGAUGACCCCUGUCAUCUCCCAAAAAGGGAGGCUGUUGUUCAAGCGGCACGUGCCUUGUUGGCUGCAGUAACUCGACUUCUUAUCCUUGCGGACAUGAUUGAUGUCAUGUGUCUUCUGCAACACGUGUCCACCGUUCAAAGGACCUUUCAGUCUCUUAAAAACGUUUCCAACAAAUCUGACCUCCAGAAAACAUACCAGAAGCUUGGGAAAGAGCUAGAAAAUCUGGAUUAUUUAGCCUUCAAACGUCAGCAGGAUUUAAAAUCUCCACACCAGAGAGAUGAAAUUGCAGGAGCCCGGGCCUUAUUGAAGGAGAACUCCCCACUCCUGCAUUCAGUUUGUUCAGCUUGUUUGGAACAUUCUGAUGUUGCUUCCCUCAAAGCAAGCAAGGACACAAUUUGUGAAGAAAUUCAGAAUGCCCUCAAUGUAAUUUCAAAUGCUUCCCAAGGCAUUCAAAACACGCCUGCUCCUCAAGAACCUCAGGCAGCAACCCUGGGAAGUGCCCUGGAAGAGCUGGAGAACUUAAUUGUCCUGAAUCCACUCACAGUGACUGAGGAGGAAAUAAGACCAUCACUGGAGAAACGCCUUGAAGCCAUUAUCAGUGGGGCUGCUCUGUUGGCUGAUUCUUCAUGCACAAGGGACUUCCACCGGGAGCGGAUUAUCGCAGAAUGCAACGCUAUUCGCCAGGCUCUUCAGGACCUACUUUCGGAGUACAUGAACAAUACUGGAAGAAAGGAAAGAAGUAAUACCCUGAAUGUUGCUAUAGACAACAUGUGCAAGAAGACAAGGGACCUUCGCAGACAGCUGCGCAAGGCUAUUAUAGAUCAUGUGUCAGAUUCCUUCUUGGAUACGACAGUCCCACUUUUGGUCCUCAUUGAAGCUGCUAAAAAUGGCCGGGAAAAGGAAAUAAAAGAAUAUGCUGCGAUAUUUCAUGAACACACCAGCAGACUUAUAGAGGUGGCAAAUCUUGCUUGUUCCAUGUCAACAAAUGAAGAUGGAAUUAAAAUAGUCAAAAUUGCUGCUGGUCACCUGGAAACCUUGUGUCCACAGAUUAUUAAUGCUGCACUUGCUUUGGCUUCAAGACCCAAAAGUCAAGUAGUGAAAAACACCAUGGACAUGUACAAGCGCACAUGGGAGAAUCAUAUACAUGUCCUCACUGAAGCUGUAGAUGACAUUACAAGCAUUGAUGACUUCCUUGCUGUAUCUGAAAGCCAUAUCCUGGAAGAUGUCAACAAGUGUAUCAUCGCCUUGAGAGACCAGGAUGCUGAUAAUUUAGACCGUGCUGCAGGUGCUAUCAGGGGACGGGCAGCAAGAGUUGCGCAUAUCGUCACAGGUGAAAUGGACAGUUACGAACCAGGGGCUUACACUGAAGGCGUCAUGAGAAAUGUUAACUUCCUUACAAGUACUGUGAUUCCUGAAUUUGUAACACAAGUGAAUGUUGCCUUGGAAGCAUUAAGCAAGAACUCCUUGAAUGUGUUUGAUGAUAAUCAAUUUGUGGACAUCUCAAAGAAGAUCUAUGAUACAAUUCAUGAUAUCAGAUGUUCAGUCAUGAUGAUUCGGACCCCAGAGGAGCUGGAGGAUGUUUCUGACCUUGAAGAGGAUCAUGAGGUCCGCAGUCACACCAGCAUUCAGACCGAAGGGAAAACUGACCGGGCCAAGAUGACUCAGCUGCCCGAGGCGGAAAAGGAGAAGAUUGCUGAGCAAGUUGCUGAUUUCAAGAAAGUAAAGAGCAAGCUAGAUGCAGAGAUUGAGAUAUGGGAUGAUACAAGCAACGACAUCAUUGUUCUGGCCAAGAAGAUGUGUAUGAUCAUGAUGGAGAUGACAGACUUCACAAGGGGUAAAGGACCUCUAAAGCAUACAACUGAAGUCAUCUAUGCAGCUAAAAUGAUUUCCGAAUCAGGAUCAAGAAUGGAUGUCCUAGCUCGACAGAUUGCCAACCAAUGCCCAGAUCCAUCCUGCAAACAAGACUUAUUGGCCUACCUGGAACAGAUUAAGUUCUAUUCCCACCAACUGAAAAUUUGCAGUCAAGUCAAAGCUGAGAUCCAGAGCCUGGGUGGAGAACUCAUCAUGUCUGCUUUGGACAGUGUAACCUCCCUGAUCCAAGCAGCCAAAAAUUUAAUGAAUGCUGUAGUGCAAACAGUGAAAAUGUCUUACAUUGCCUCAACGAAGAUCAUCCGAAUUCAGAGUCCUGCGGGGCCUAGGCACCCAGUUGUGAUGUGGAGAAUGAAGACUCCAGCGAAGAAACCCUUGAUUAAGAAAGAAAGGCCAGAGGAGACUUGUGCAGCUGUCAGACGAGGCUCGGCCAAGAAGAAAAUCCAUCCAGUGCAAGUCAUGAGAGAAUUUAGAGGAAGACAAACCUACUGAAAUCACUAUUCUCCAGUGCCUGUAUUACAAAAUCCUGGCUAACCACACUGUCUGUUUUACACUUGAUUAACUGUAAUUUCACUAAGGUUUGGAGUUUACUCACAAAUAACGUAAUAUAUUGGGGGCUGAACCAGUGUAAGCAACAUGUUUGGGAUUAUGUCAUUGUCAUCUCUGUGUGCCCACACCUGAUGGUUGAUGUGUGCUUGGAAUGAUGCCUUCAAGUGUCAUUCGGCCUUUCCCAUCACAACUGCCUUAUAUUCUGUUCCACAUGAACAGAGGAGACAUAAGUGAGUCCAGCUUAUCUUAGGUAGUUCGAGUCCACUCAUCCUUUUCAUUUGGUAUUAAAGCACUGAUUUGGUUUUCAAUGGCAACAAAAGACAAAAAAAUAUUUUUCCAUCUCAUCUGCAAACAUUAUUUUCCUGACUUAAGCUGGCAUCUAAUAUGGAAGAAAUACAUGGUUCCUGCCAUAGAGAAAAACUUUCAAUCUAUAGAUAUCUGUAUCCAUUGCCAGCUGAUUAUGGUAACAUCCAUCAUAAAUGAACGAAUUUUGAGCAGUCAAGCUACUUACCAGAUUUUGAAAUCAGUCUAGCUUAUUUGUGAAAUUCCUUGUGGACAGCAUAAAUGUUACAAGGAGUUUUAAUAUCACAUAUGUGCCUUUUAGUGUUUUACUGUGUUCACCAGUCAUGUACUUUUGAGUUUUAUGUCCUUCAUAACACAUGCAUGGAAGAAAAGCAUUGUCACUCACUGAGAAAUGCAAUGCUAAACUGUAUCUCAGAAUGACUUAUGGAGGUGUCAGCAGUUCUGCAUGACUUUAAAAACCCAGUUGUCGUGGUUUGCAAGUGUAAUUAAAAGGGCAAGCAAGUUUGAAAAACCUUUUGGCACUGAGUAAAAUAUAUCUCUGUGAAUUGUAGCAUUGAACGAUAAAGCAGAGUCAAUGGCAAUGAAGCAGUAGAUUUAAGUUACACUCUUUUAAAUAAAAGACACUGGGGUCAUUUUAUAACUCUGGUCUCUGUGCUCAUCCCUCGUUGAGUUUGUAAUGAACUUAAUAACAGUCUGAGUCUAGUGUACUGCUGUCUCCUUUUCCUUAUCUCACAGUCUCUUCUUUGAGUUGGACCUUCAUAAGCUCUUCAGAGGAGUUAAGUUGCGGUUUCACAUUUUCCUCACUCAUAGGAUUCCCUUUCAAGGGAAUUUUAAAAUCCUUUCCCUUUUCUGUUUUAUUGCAAUAAAAUAGCUGUAACUUAUUGCUUGUACACCAUUGAUGUUGAUGAGUUAUUUCAAAAGCCAUGUCACUUUUGGUGGACAACAAGAGUUCAUGUUAGAAGGGCAAGUCUACAUGAAAUAAUGCAUAAAAAUGAGCUUAUGAACUUUGAGAACAUGAGUAGGGCGUUUUGUAGAAAAUGACAUGAACAAAGAUGGAUCUAGUUGAUAGAUCAUUAUUAGCUGUGGGGGUAAUGUUAACUUCAUUUAAUUAUAAUGAAUUAUUUCAAUCCUUCAAAACACUAGAUCACUUGGGUUCAUUGUUAUAAAACUCUCAGACAUUGAAAACUGUAAACUCUGUCUCUUGCAUUACUGACUAACCCACAGUAACUAUCUAGACAGAGUCCACCCCCUGAAAGACAAGGCCAGGACAAACGAAAUUAAGAAACACAGGUUACUGUGUUUUUCUUAGUUAUCAUUGCAGCUGAGACAAACAGGAGUUUCUUUUAUUGAAAUGCUACCACCCUUUCCUGCUCUAAAUGUACAGUAUCUAUGGUACAUCCUUCUGGCUGGAAGAAAAAUGAAUUUAUAGUUAAGAAAAGCUGAAUUUUAUUUUUGGACCACAGACCACUAUCUGUAUGUUGUAGCUUCAAAGCCACAUACACAAAAAUCUGAUUCUCAUUUAGGAAACUCUAAUGUCUGCUUAACCAUACAUCAUCUUUUCAUAUUUGAAUUUAGAAUGUAGUAUUGGAUGCCAAAAUAACAGAAAUACAUUGAAAUCAUACAGUUACCAAGUAACCUCCAUCUCCUUCUAAAAAAAUGAAUUUACUCAAAAUGAGAUGUGAAUGAGACCUCUUCUUUAUAGGUAGACUUUCAGCCUAGCUCAAGGCAAGCAACUAUAAUUAAACAAAACAAUAAAAACUUUAACUGGGUGAACGUCCCAUGAGAAAAUCUGCUGAGGUUAUCAAAGGUACGAUAAAAACAAGAUGCCUAAAGCUGAGAAAGACAUCUGUUCACCUGAGUGAAUUCCUGCAGUAGGUAGCAAUUUAAGAGUUAGUUCAAACCUGUUGAUAAUACAAAUGCUUAUAGAUAAGAAAAACUAACAGCAAAGAUAUUAAGAAAUUUUGUACCAUAAAGCAUGGUUAAAUAAAUCUUAGCAAUAAGCAUAACCCUAAUGGGUGUGUUUAUAUUUAGUUUUUCUAUCUGCAGAUGAAUGCCAGACAUUUCUUAAUGGGAUGAUAAUUGGUGGUACAUUAUACAUCUUUGAAAGUCUCAUCACAGAAACUGUUGCUUUUUCUACUGAUACAUUCGCUUGAUCCUGCUAAUCAGAAUCCACCUUUCUCUUUUAGUGAAAUCAGUGUAUUUUAACUUAACAAAAAGGCAGUCCUUGAGAGAGAGAAGACACUACCAACCCUGGUUAUCACCAGUGUCACUGCCAAACUUUUUACUGGAAUCUGAAGGAUAACCUGGAAAAUAUCUAUGAAAUUGUUAUCUACUAAAGAUUUUUCUUCCAAUUAGAAAAAAUAAACUAAAAGGCUGUCAUCAAACAUGAAAGGUGAGAAAUAUCAAUCUCUCCUUUAUUUAUUGCAAAUGGACAUUAUUUGAUUAAAAUGGUUCUAAUGGAGUUUCUGAAUAGUUAUUGAAUGAGUCAGAAAAAACACACCAAAUUUCUAGUUUGCUAAUUAUUCCCAUCUGUUUGUAUUAUGAGUGCAAACUAUGACUAUAUCAUGAAAUAGAGUAUUGUCUUUAUUUUCAGAAAUAUGCCUUCUAGCCUUUGAAAAUCUUGUUUGUGUUCCCCCUAAAAUUCUUUUGGUACAGGGGACAAGGGCUCCAAUAGCCACAGUAGGAGGUCUAUUCUUGCAGUCUGGCAUUCUUGACACACUUAGCUUCAGAGGAGAUCUGAUUCAAGUCAUGCUGUAAUAAGAUAAAAUUGUGAAUACACAAUUAAGUGUGCAGUUUGGACUGUCAUAUGCAGUAAUUAAUGUUCAUCAGAUUCGGUAAUGAGUGGCUGGAAAGGCUAGUGUGUGACAAUGGGGAAUGUGUUUUCAAUGGCUUUCUAAACAGUUUCAGAGUGGUCUUAACUCUCCUACCUCUUGGCUAGGCAUCCUGUUAAGUAUUCUAACAGUUUUCCACCAGAAAGGGCAAUCAGGCCUGCUCUACCCAGGCAGUCACCCCAGUCAAUGCCCUGUCCUCUUACUCCCUGCACCAAUAAUCUCCCGUCUUUUCUCUCCUUAAGCAUAUGAUGUCUAUACAUUAAUAUAUUCUAUAAGAUUUUAGUUAAAUUUUGAAUUUCAAUUUGCAGAAUUAUUAUUCUUUUUGCAUUUCUACUCCCAAGAACAUUCUUAUUCUUUCUGGUGUCAAGUGUACAUUUCCAUCCCAGGAAUUGUGGUUCCCAUGGAUACAGAUUUUUAUACAGUGACAGAGUGAGUAGAAUGGAAUCUGAGACUUUCAUGGUGAUAUCGACCAUUUUCUGGUGAACUCGUCGUGGAAUACCCAGCCUGUUUCCAUAUUAUUGCAGUAAUUCUCUAGGUAGGCAUAGCAGGCACCAGAAUUUCAAUGUGAAUUAAAUCUGCACUACAUUUGUCAGCCUGUAUUUUUGCCAGGACAGACUGUCUACUGUAUAUUUAGGAAGCAAUUAUAUGUUUUCCUUUUUGUGAAAUCAGAAAUAUUUGUUUCAUUUAUUGGAUAGUUUAGGGGCAUCCAGUUGAAAAGAAAUAGCUCCCAUAUUUUAACAGUUGCUUUUGGGUAAACUGGAAAAUUUAUGUAACCUGAGAAUUUAUUGUUCACGGUUACAUAUCACACACAGGAACAAUAUUCAUUCAGAUGAAAACUCUUUCUUUUUUUAUUGAUUCUCUUUCCAUAAAGUUAUGAUAUGUUUAGUUCUAGUAUUUUCAAGGCUACCACCAAAUAAAUAAGCCAAGACUAAUGACAAAAGUGUCUACUUACAUAAUAAUUUAUGAGUUUCCAUUUUGGCCUUUGAGCCUAAUUAGGAAAAAAAAGGAGCAUGGAAGCUAUUAAAACUAUGUAUCUAUAACUGAAGAUAGCUUUCUCAAAAUGAUUAACACUAUGCUGGCCAGAUAGAGAGAAUAUUAAAUUUUUAAAUAUCAUUUUAAAUUUUAAAUAAUUUACAUAAACAAGAAUAUAUUCUCCAGCAAACAAAACAAGCAGUAGUUUAAAACUUUACUGAUUUUACACAUGAAUAGUUUCCUUUAUGAACAGUUUGAGAGGGAGAAUUCACAGUAAGUGAGAGAUGUGUCUCCCAAUGGAGCCCAAGCUGAUCAGAAUCCUGCCUGCAGGCACAGACCCUUGUGUGUAUCCUGGAAUGUGGUGCUUGAAUCAUGGCUUCAGGUUGCAGUAAGGCAUCCAACUGUCCCCACUGAUUGGUGGGAAACACAAUAAGUGGAUUGACUUUCUGCAUGAGCUUGGCAUGUUGGAGAAGAAAAGGAGUAAAUGCUGAGCAGUUCUAAAGGGAUCUGGAUAAGGAAGUGCCAGAGGUGGCAGGGGUAGUAUGAGGAGUGGCUGCAGAAGGUGACUUUCCCAGAAGGAGGCGGGGAGUGUGUGUGGUUCUAUGAAGCCAGGCGUCCUCAUCACCAGGAGGAGGGGACACUUGUCUCGGUGGCUUGAUAAGUCGUGUUGGGUGAAUGAAUUACACAAAUGUGGCGGAGUUAGUAAUGUUGUUUGCAAGUUUGGGUGAAAUUAUUCUCAAAAAGCCUAGCCAAUUGUUAAAUACAUGAACAUGUAAUUAUUUGUAUUAGCUCUGAGGUUGAACAUAGGCAUUGUUAUGGGUAAUUGUCAUGAGUCGGCUCUGUGUUGAAUGCUAGCUAUUAUUUAACCCUCUCAAUAACCUACAGGAUAGCUCCAUUCCAUAGUUAAAAGAAACGUAAGAUUUAAAGAACUUAAGAAUCUUGCUCAAAGUCUAACUGCUUUAAAAACAAAUUUAUUUCCACACUAUACAAUCUUCUUGGAAAAUGGGAUCAAAUUUGUCAGUUGAUAAUGAAAUAGAUAUUUCAAAUGUUGGCUGCAUUUCUUUGAGAGAAUAUAACUUAAGCAAAACAUAUAUAAUUUUGCCAUAUUCUCCGUAAUUCAAAGAAGAUAAUAAUAGGCAGAUAAUUAAUUAGCUUAAUAUUCUCACUGUUAUAGCAAGACCGUACCUGCUCCAGCCUUGAAUGCCAAUACUUUAGAGAUGACAGUUGAUGGAAGGAAAUCAGGUUUAUUCAAGAAGCAACCCGAGGAGAUGGUACAUCUUCCUGUCACAAACACCAUCCUAAAUUUUCAAGGUAGCAGGAAAGCUUUGGAAGGGAGCUGAAAAGGAGGUCAGGAGCAAGGGGGAAAAACAAAAGGACCAGAUGCAUGUUGGCCUCCACUCAGGUGAUAACAGGCAGCUUGCAGCCAUGAAUCCAAUUCUCUGAUCACAAUGACUAGAGCCAGAUCAUUGUGGAAUUUUAAUCUGGCUUUCUCAAGGCUAGUUUCUGGGAUUCUCAACUAAACAUUAUUUACCAGUUAAGUUAAACAUAAGUCUGAUUAGUCGCAAAGUCAGCAACCAAAACAAUUGUUUCUACAGUGGGGAUGAAACAAAGGGCCCAUUGUAAUUACCAUUACAUUACCUUUGAUAACUGAAUAUGAAGUAUCGGGCAUAAGGGGAGUAAAUGUUUUAUCCACAUGAUCUAAAAUAAGGGGCAACUCAGCCAAUUUCUUUUAUUACAUUGGGGUAGAAAGAUUCCAUACAAAUGCCUGUUUCAGCCUGUCUUCAGCACUGGUUAGUAAAAACCAUUCGUUGGCACUAUAUCCUUCCUCUUUAACUGUGAAUGCUUGCCUUUGUAUUUGAAGUCAUGGAUUCCAAAAGAGUAUUGGCUAAGGGUUCUUAAAAUCAUUUAAAAGGGCCGGCGCCGCGGCUCACUAGGCUAAUCCUCCGCCUUGCGGCGCCGGCACACUGGGUUCUAGUCCCGGUCGGGACGCUGGAUUCUGUCCCGGUUGCCCCUCUUCCAGUCCAGCUCUCUGCUGUGGCCAGAGAGUGCAGUGGAGGAUGGCCCAAGUGCUUGGGCCCUGCACCCCAUGGGAGACCAGGAUAAGUACCUGGCUCCUGCCAUCGGAUCAGCGCGGUAUGCCGGUUGCAGUGUGCCGGCCGUGGUGGCCAUUGGAGGGUGAACCAACGGCAAAGGAAGACCUUUCUCUCUGUCUCUCUCUCUCACUGUCCACUCUGCCUGUCAAAAAAAAAAUCAUUUAAAGUUUCCCUGUGUUAAAAUUUUACCUGUAUUAUGGCAAAGGUAUCUCCUUCUUUAUGAAGGCCACGCAUGUGCACAAAUACGUGCCUCAUUACAGGUAAACUCAGUCCUGUAACUUCACAGUGCCCUCCUCUCUAAAGUCAAAUAACUCUGCUUCUUGCUCAUGUUGCUGGAUAGGCUUCCACAUUCCAGAUCUUGGGGAGUUGAAUGACUCUCUGAUAGUCCUUAAGGUAAAGCCAUGGUGUUGCCUAAAACUAGGAAUUAUUGUUUGUACUCUUAUGGAUGUGGUAGUCAUAUGGUGUCCGUUCUCAACUGUAGGAAAAUAAGGCCUUGGAAGGAAAUUCUCUUUGGAAAAGGCUCAAAUUUAAAACAAUCAUGCCUCCAAAUAUUUUCAAUGUAGGACAUAUGCAAAAAUCAUUUAGUAUUUGGCGGAGCAGACCCUCAAAGGAGAUAGUUUCUAGUUCUGAAGACUUUUUUCCUUGGCAUUUUCAAAAAGGUGCUUAUUUUCAGUUCUGGCUAUUUGGUCUUGAAGGUCUAUAGCAUCUUUUAAUACAUUUUAAUGCCUCAUUACAAUAAUUACAUCAAUAGUUCAAAAGCCUGCAGGUAACCUGUUUUUCUAUUCAGACAGCGAGUAGCCAGCCCCAGACCAACCUUGGCAUGUCGGGUCAAUUUCCCGUCUUUGUAGAUUAUCUGCACCUCCCUAUGGCAGUCUCUGAGAGUCUGGCAUAGACCAAUGUGUUUCCUUGACCAGGAUUAAAAUCAGACUUGAACUGGACUGUUUAUUAAAGCAAAGGAGCCAAGUCUGAGAUGUUAGCUCACACUUUAGCCAAACAGAAUUUUGCUACUUCCUGGGAUUUUAAAAUGUAAAAGUAACUUUAAACAUACUACAGAGGUGGUGGUCCACUGCUUACCAAAUAUUUGUGAUUUUAACUCUGUAUUCUUAUGUGUUAGUAUACGAUGUGUCCAUGGGAAUAUAGAUAUAAUUUCAGCAACUAUCUUGCAGGAUUAAGUUGUGCCACCUGGUUUGAAAAUAUUUCUUCAGUGUUAAAGUCACUCCAAAGAAAAUUUACUUAGGUUUAAAGGACAGCUUAAUGGUUUUUCCUUCAUAUCCAUGACUAACAAGUCUCUGAAAAAAGAAGUGGACCUAUGUUAUGCCCAAUUUAGUACCUAAUAGUUGAGACUUAAAAUUUGGGGGGCAAGUUGGGUUAUUAAAUAUGAAUUAAAACUUUGUGAAAGAGUUCUAGAUGCCCCUACUUUCCAUUUUUAUUGUGUUUAGUUUAAUAUUAACUUAGCAAAAGAUGACUUUAUGUGCUUUAUAAGCAUCAACUUCAUCUUUGACAGCUUAAAUUUUGUGGCAUCCUUGAAAGUAAUAUGUACAUUAUAAUUCAGGAUGAAGGCAGGUUUAAACUAAAGCAGUCCAGGAUGAAAUAAAAGUAACUAAUCGAUAACAGUCAUGUUUAUUUCAGCAGUGUUUUGAGAGCUUAGCUGUAGCACCAUUUGCGGUGUUUCAGCUACCCUUUCUUGUAAAUCUCACCCUACUAUGCAGAGACAUGAUGCGGCUGAGUGAACUCUCCAUUGAAGUAAUGGCCAAUGUAAAGCUGUUUUGUGCUUUGACUGUAGACGAAAUUUGGCUAAAAACACACUAGAACUUUCGGUUCCAUGUUAUCCUUAAACUUAAUUUCACCAAUCAAAUGAAAUGAAUUAUUUAUCCAGGAGUAUAAAGAGAUCUUUAAUACUCUAUGACAUUGACAUACAAACCCAAAUAUUCUUUGUGUGAUAUUCUGCAUGCUUUUUGUGUUCAAUUCAGUCAAUGGAUUUUUUCAUUAUGCUUUCAGUUGCAUUAUUUGGCAUAUGUAACACUGGAUUUGUUUUGAAUUUACAUAGGAUUGUUUUCCUAUUAUUCUGUAGUUCAUUAAAAUUUUGCUCAGCUGAUAAUUGUGUAUGUUAAUGCAAUAAAAAUGAAAGUAUUAGUUAUGCAUUUUGUGUUUCUAUCUGAUGUUAUGCUGUCUUGGGUGGGACAAAAAAGGAGGUUUCUGAAGUGCUGACUAAUUGAAUCAUGUAUUUCUGUCACCUUCGUUCUACCUUUAUACAUGUUACAAUACUACUACAUUUACACAAGUAACCUGGAGUGUAUCUGCUAAAAUUAAUUUCCUAAUUUAAAUGAACAUUUUUUCCCUGAUAUAGACAAUAGUUAUUAUCUAUGUAGUUGAAAAUUUGUUCUUCAGCUUAAGGAUUUAUGAAAAUGAUCAAUAACUUUUCUGAGGAAGUCUGAACACAUACUCAUGUCACAUAAUGCCAUUGACUCUUCCAGUGUUCCUGCAUAUAUAUUGAUGAGUUCUUUUUAAAAAUAGUUUAUUCAUUUAUUUUGUUGAGAGGCAGAAAGACACAUAUAGACAGAAAGAGAAAGACAAGAAGGGAGACUCCCAUCCAGUGGUUCACUCCCAAAUGCCCACAAUGGCCAGGGCUGGCCAGGCUGAAUCAAGUAGCCAGGAAUUCAGUACAGUUCUCCCACAUGGGAGGCAAGGACCCAGGUACUUAAACAUCACCACUGCCUCCCAGUGUGCACAUUAGCAGGAAGCUGGAAUCCAGAGUGGAGCUGGGACUCAACUCCAGGUGCUCUAAGAUGCCAGCAUCCCAUCCAACGUCAGAAGUGGGAGGCCAAAUGCCCCAAAUGCCCACCCCACAGUGGUGGAUUCCAAGCACCAGUCUUGGCUUCCUCAUCCCUAGACCCUGAGUAAUCUUUUCUCUCUAUUAAUUCCAUAGGAUCAGUGUCUGGAUUCUCAAGGAUCAAGGUUACUGUGGCUGUUCUGGGACACCACACCAUUUUCUUCCUUUAGGGAUCUCACUGCUUCAGAACGCUUAUCGCUAAAUCUCAGUCUGUCUCUGUCCCUUCUCAAAAUGCAGUCUGUGAGUGGGUAGUGUGAAUUGCUUAAUUUCUGUGAAAGAUCAUGCUCCCCCUCAUUCAGUUCUGCUCGACACCAUUGGACCCUUUGUGGAUAAAAACGCCAGUGUCGGUGGUGUUGCCUUUCUUUGUCAGUUUCUCCUAGAUCCCAGGAUUCCACGUCUGCUCUGGCAGCAACAUUGUCUCUGCCUUGAUCAGUCUGUCGGGCUCGCUCUGGGGGUGCAAGCGGAACUAAAAGUACCCUUGCCAAGAAGAGUCUGUUCCUGCCUGGAGGCUGAGCCAAUGUCCUGACGUUCCCUGGACAGCACCAUUAAACAUUCCAUCCAGGAACAGGAACUCUGAGAUGUGACUUCCUGUCACUGCACGUACCCUGUCCCGUGGCUAGUCAGGUAACUGACUUAUUCUGUCUGCAUUCCUCAGUUUGGAAAGGAGAAGGAGUUCUUUGGAGAUAGGAAACCACAGGAAGAAAGGAGUUCUCAGGACGACAAUCAAAGUGUGAAACCUUCUUAGGGAGCUGGCAAGGGGUGGGGUUUGGGUGGAGCAGAUCACUCCCAGGUUUCAGACAAAUUGUCCUCUGUCCCUGAGGAUCAUGGAGAGGACCUGGAAGCAGGGAUUUGCUGCUCUGAGUUUUACAGAGGCUGAAUCAGCACCCUCUGCCACUUUCCUGCCUUCUCACUCCCUCUCCUAGUUGUUGGUAGUGAUAGGAUGUUAUAUACAUGUUUCCUUUUCCAACAUCAGAGAAUUUCAAUAUCUUCCGGUGGAUAGAGCACCACUCAAGCCAAACUCAGGUGGAAAAAGUGGGCUGUCCUCCUGAAUACAGACCUAAACAGCAUACUGAGUGGUGGUCCACUGUAGGCUAACUGAAUUUUUAUUAUUUCAGCUUCUUUUCGUGCUACUCCAAAGGAAGCCCCUGUGACAGUGCUGGGGAUCCAGCGCUGGGUGCUGCAACAUCUCCAUCCUUCCAGUAAGGACACUUAUGGAACCCUCCACACUGGGUUAAUCCAUUACCUGACAGUCACUCUGAGGCAUAUGGCACUGAGUGCUGAGUUUGGAAGACCCUAAUACUGCAUCAUGUCCCAAAGCCAGAACAUGUUUGAGCUCUUUAGCCAUACGCUGUUCUAGAAUGCUUAGAGCAAUUACCACAUCAUGCUCCCUUUUGUAUCUCCACGUAUCAAAGAUCUGAAAAGAAUCAAUUUCAUCUGUGUUCCAUCUGACUGAGCAGUUGGAGUCACUGGGAAAGUAGCAGCAGGAAAGUUACCACCAAGGACUGAGCCCAUCCAUGGUGCAAGGGGCUCAUUCCCAAGAAAAAAGCACUAAAUGCCCGCGUUCUCAGUCCAAGGCAUUUAUUAGACAAACUUACAUACAGAAGGCUGCAGUGACUCUCACAAAGAAUGGUGAGAAUAGAGAUUUCCUACCCAGGUAAGUCCUUAAGGUGGAGGUUGGGUGACGAAGCUUAUAUAGGAACUUAAAGAAUUUGCUUCAGGUCCUGGGUUAAUUUUUAUGAGUUCAACAACAUGUUUGAUACCACAGCGUUUCAGAAAACAACUCAAAUAAGCUUAUUCUGCCUGCAGGAACACAAGUCCAGGGAACAGGGCGAUCAGGCCACUCUGAGUGUCUUCCUCAGGACAAAGAAAGGAAGUAUGUAUGAGCAAUGGGGGACCCUAAAAUCUGUGUAAUGACUGGAUGUAAUCAGGACUUUCUCUAUUAGCGUCAAUGUUAAGCUCUUCCUUAGUUUAAUCAACUUUGGCCCUACUGAUUGAGCAGUUUACAAAAGUAUAGGAAGCAGAAUUCCUUCCAUGCCUGUGUCACUAGUGCCAAUUUUCAAAUACGUGGUUGAAUGAGAAAGACUACCAAUAGCAUUAGCCUUACCCUCUGGUGAAUGUGAAAACAGUUCACUCAGUACUUCCCGAAAUUUCCCUCUCCCAAAGUAAUCAGCUUGGAAAAUGGAAGACAUUGUAACCGAACAACAAUUACAGUCUGCUGGUAAAUAUAUCCUGGUUUCUUUUACUGUGCUAUAAUUUAUUUUACCGUAAAGGCCAUUUCUUGUUUUCCUGCCAAAUGACGAAUGAUGAUCAAGUGGGUGGCAACAUGUUUCCCCUUCACAUAAUUUCUGAGAUCUGCUUGUGAGGCUGUAUCUAGUUUGAGAAAUGCUAAAACAACCCAAACGUGUGAGCAUCACAUUGGUUGGCAUGGUGGCACCAGGGCCAGCAGCCCGUGCUCCAGCACCACUCUACAGCGUUUGCAUUCUGGAUCCACUAUUUUUAGUUGCAGUCCUCCUGGGCAAGUUGCUAAACCUCUCAUUACCAUUCAUUAUAAAUUCCCAUUUGAGAAGCAGAGGUGGCAUUUCUGAGUUCAACUAGCAAAAUAAUUGUGUGUCGUACAGUCCAUGUCUCUCAUAUUCAGGGAAAUUUGAUAGAACCUGUCACACAGGAUCAUUAAUGAAUAUUACAUGAAUUAAUGUACAUACUUUGUUGCCCAGCACAGGUUAAACAAAACAUAAAAUUUAACCAUUAUUUUUACAUAUGUGAUUUGUAAGCUUUGAAAUAAAACAGAAUCCUAAAAGUUCCUUUUGGGGGCCGGCGCCACAGCUCACUUGGCUAAUCCUCUGCCUGCGGUGCCCAGCACCCCAGGUUCUAGUCCCGGUCGGGGCGCCGGAUUCUGUCCCAGUUGCCCCUCUUCCAGGCCAGCUCUCUGCUGUGGCCCGGGAGUGCAGAGGAGGAUGGCCCAAGUGCUUGGGCCCUGUACCCUGUGGGAGACCAGCAGAAGCACCUGGCUUCUGCCUUCGGAUCGGCAAUGCACCGG